rnacentral:rRNA from 1 species
CCUACGGGGGGCAGCAGUGGGGAAUAUUGGGCAAUGGGCGCAAGCCUGACCCAGCAACGCCGCGUGAAGGAAGAAGGCUUUCGGGUUGUAAACUUCUUUUCUCAGGGACGAAGCAAGUGACGGUACCUGAGGAAUAAGCCACGGCUAACUACGUGCCAGCAGCCGCGGUAAUACGUAGGUGGCAAGCGUUAUCCGGAUUUACUGGGUGUAAAGGGCGUGUAGGCGGGGACGCAAGUCAGAUGUGAAAACCACGGGCUCAACCUGUGGCCUGCAUUUGAAAUUGUGUUUCUUGAGUACUGGGGAGGCAGACGGAAUUCCUGGUGUAGCGGUGAAAUGCGUAGAUAUUAGGAGGAACACGAGUGGAGAAGGCGGUCUGCUGGACAGCAACUGACGCUGAGGCGCGAAAGCGUGGGGAGCAAACAGGAUUAGAUACCCGUGUAGUC